rnacentral:rRNA from 1 species
GACGAACGCUGGCGGCGUGCUUAACACAUGCAAGUCGAACGGAAAGGCCCUGCUUUUGUGGGGUGCUCGAGUGGCGAACGGGUGAGUAACACGUGAGUAACCUGCCCUUGACUUUGGGAUAACUUCAGGAAACUGGGGCUAAUACCGGAUAGGAGCUCCUGCUGCAUGGUGGGGGUUGGAAAGUUUCGGCGGUUGGGGAUGGACUCGCGGCUUAUCAGCUUGUUGGUUGGGUAGUGGCUUACCAAGGCUUUGACGGGUAGCCGGCCUGAGAGGGUGACCGGCCACAUUGGGACUGGGAUGCUGCCCAGACUCCUGCGGGAGGCAGCAGUGUGGAAUAUUGCGCAAUGGGCGGCAGCCUGAUGCAGCAACGCCGCGUGCGGGAUGACGGCCUUCGGGUUGUAAGCCGCUUUCGCCUGUGGCGAAGCGUGAGUGACGGUAAUGGGUAAAGAAGCACCGGCUAACUACGUG